AGUGAACGCUGGCGGCGUGCUUAACACAUGCAAGUCGAACGAGAACGGAUUAUAGCUUGCUAUAAUUGUCAGCUAAGUGGCGCACGGGUGAGUAAUGUAUAGGUAAUAUGCCUCUUACUAAGGGAUAACAAAUGGAAACGUUUGCUAAUACCUUAUACUCCUUAUUAACCUACGUUAAUAAGGGACAGAUUUAUUGGUAAGAGAUUAGCCUGUAUUGUAUCAGUUAGUUGGUGGGGUAAUGGCUUACCAAGACUAUGACACAUAACUGGUUUGAGAGGAUGAUCAGUCACACUGGAACUGAGACACGGUCCAGACUCCUACGGGAGGCAGCAGUGGGGAAUAUUGCACAAUGGACGAAAGUCUGAUGCAGCAACGCCGCGUGGAGGAUGACACAUUUCGGUGCGUAAACUCCUUUUAUAUGAGAAGAUAAUGACGGUAUUAUAUGAAUAAGCACCGGCUAACUCCGUGCCAGCCGCCGCCGUAA
rnacentral:rRNA from 1 species